AUCAAUUUAUGCUAUUUUGUUAUGCAUUUUUAGAAUCCUGGUAAACAGUUGUUUUAUUUGAAUUGGGCUUCCUAAGUUCUAGUUGUGCCCAUUUUAGGGAGCGAAAAUGAGAACCUCUCAGAUGUUCCUUUACUCUUCAUUUCCUUUUAAUUUUACUACUUGGGAUAAAUGAGAACCUCUCAGAUGUUCCUUUACUCUUCAUUUCCUUUUAAUUUUACUACUUGGGAUAAACUCACAACUGAAAUAGCUUCUUUGCUGUUUUAUGUUCAGACACAAAG
rnacentral:lncRNA from 1 species